AGCGAACGCUGGCGGCAGGCCUAACACAUGCAAGUCGAGCGCCCAGCAAUGGGAGCGGCAGACGGGAGAGUAACACGUGGGAACGUGCCUUUUGGUUCGGAAUAACUCAGGGAAACUUGAGCUAAUACCGGAUAAGCCCUUACGGGGAAAGAUUUAUUGCCAAAAGGGCGGCCCGCGUCCGAUUAGCUAGUUGGUGAGGUAAUGGCUCACCAAGGCGACGAUCGGUAGCUGGUCUGAGAGGAUGACCAGCCUCAUUGGGACUGAGACACGGCCCAAACUCCUACGGGAGGCAGCAGUGGGGAAUAUUGGACAAUGGGCGCAAGCCUGAUCCAGCCAUGCCGCGUGAGUGAUGAAGGCCUUAGGGUUGUAAAGCUCUUUUAGCAGGGAAGAUAAUGACGGUACCUGCAGAAAAAGCCCCGGCUAACUUCGUGCCAGCCGCCGCCGU
rnacentral:rRNA from 1 species